AACCGUGUGGCUCUGAUACCAUAUAACAGCGGCGAUAAGUUUUUAAAAGAAAAACUUUAACAGAAGAAAGAAAAGAUUAAGAAGAUGACCGGUGAAUCGGUAAAGUAAUCUCUUUCUUUUAUUUAUAAACAUUUAGGGAAGGGAUUACAGUAUAUCCUAGAUCUAAAUGUUUGAGAGGGAAGAUCGAAGUAUUAAGGACUUCGUCUUCAUCUUCUAACUAAGAAGAUCGAAGCUGAAAGCUUCGUCUCCGGCUAACUAAGAGAGAAGGGAGAGGACCUCGGAAGAGCUUUCUAGAGAGAGAAGCUCUGAGGCUUUACAUUGAAUUAAGC
rnacentral:lncRNA from 1 species